CGACGCCGCGCACCUUCGGGCCCGAGCGGGAAGCCGAGCCGGCCAAGGAAGCUCGCGUCUUGGGCUCGGAGCUCGUGGACACUUAUACGGUUUACAUCAUACAGGUCACUGAUGGCAACCAUGAGUGGACGGUAAAGCACCGCUACAGCGACUUCCAUGACCUGCAUGAAAAGCUCGUUGCAGAGAGAAAGAUUGAUAAAAAUCUGCUUCCGCCCAAAAAGAUAAUUGGGAAAAACUCAAGAAGCUUGGUGGAGAAGAGGGAGAAGGAUCUGGAGGUCUACCUCCAGAAACUCCUGGCUGCCUUCCCUGGCGUGACCCCCAGAGUGCUGGCCCACUUCUUGCAUUUUCACUUCUAUGUAAGUUCCUCAUCGGGUUUUCACCUGUGCCUGCAAACCCACAACUGCCAAGCUUGAGGCAGCAAACCAGGGGGGACCUCAGCUUUGAGGUGGGCCGGGGUUUGA